CCUACUUAGAAUGCAUAAUGCUACUCCCCCACACUUAAACUACACAUUAUCCCUAAUGUGAUACAAGCUAGGGAAAAGGCAAAUGAAUAAAUAAAAAUAGAAACAAAAGAUAAAAUAAAAGUAAAAAAAGAAAAGAAAAAAAAUAAGAGUAAAAUAAAGAGAAAGGAUAGGAGUCACCCCUGAUGUUCAUCUAUGGCAGGGUCAUGUGGUGGAGCACCUGGGUUGGGUGAUCAAUUGUGUCAAAGCUUCAACUUUCUCAUGCAGUUCACAUAAGGAGCACUCCAUGAAGUGUAGGGUGUCAUCAAUCAUGCGUAUGUGUAAUAGGGUGUGGUCCAUGAAUUCCUUGAAUUUGGGCGGCGGAGGAGCUGGGGUGGCUUGUGAUUGAAACUCACACUACUUGCUGUAAAUUCUUUUGUCUCAUGGCACCAAAGGCCAAGGUGGGGCAAAGUAGGGGAGGCGAUAUUUUAGUUCCAGGAGGCCCAUGUCAUCCAAAUACUGAAGAUUCAAAGGUGCCUGAGGGUAGGCAAUAUGUAAAUCUUUCUCAUCAAUGUCGAACCGGGUUGUGAAUAUGUCAAUUCUGGUGAUGAUUGUGCCCAUGAUUAAGGGCUGCUAAAAGGAGAGUACAUUAGCAAAUUGCAACGCGAACCAGUGCCCCAAGUUCAUCCAACAUAACUGUAGAAAGUACAACUCUAUUUUGGAGAUGGAACUCAUUGCGUCUCUAUGACCGGAAAAAGAAUAAGCCAAAAAUUGAUGAAUGUAUUUAAUACAAGGGCCACGCAAGUAGAGGUCCUUGGAUUUGCUGGGGUCGUAUGCAUCUAAGUGAUUAACACAAAGUUCAUCAUAAAUAGUGGUUGAGUC
rnacentral:lncRNA from 1 species